rnacentral:misc_RNA from 1 species
UUGUGGAGGAGGACGCCGAAGGUGGGGCUAAUGACUGGGGUGAAGUCGUAACAAGGUAGCCGUACCGGAAGGUGCGGCUGGAUCACCUCCUAACAGGGAGACAACAAAAUGUUUAAUAUUAUUAUUUUGUCACCUUAGGUCGAUCGGUAUCUCACGUUCUUAAUUUAUUAAGAAUUUCAUUUCCUAAGUUUUUUCUAGGUCACACCCAUUAUUUUUCCUGGGCCAUUAGCUCAGGUGGUUAGAGCGCACCCCUGAUAAGGGUGAGGUCCCUGGUUCAAGUCCAGGAUGGCCCAUAUCUCUAUGUUGGGGGUAUAGCUCAGUUGGUAGAGCGCCUGCUUUGCAAGCAGGAUGUCAGCGGUUCGAGUCCGCUUAUCUCCACUGAUUACCACCUCUUACAUAAUCUUUGAGAAGGAAAUGUUUUGAGUAGUGAUCAAAUUCUGAACGAAUCUAGCUUCCUAAUGAAAUCAUUAAGAUGCUGGACUCAUUGAAUUAAUUUCAUUGUUUUCAGAGAACCUUGACAACUGCAUAGAUUAUUUUUAAAGACAAUAAGCAUCUUUAAUGAUGCAGAUUUAUUAUUUGUGCGAAUGCAUUAAUAACAAUUCUAUUAAGCUGAUGCUUCAAUUUUGAAGUUAUUGGUCAAGCUACAA